AACCGUUAUAACCGGCGAUGUCCGAAUGGGGAAACCCAGUGCAAUUCGUUGCACUAUCGUUAACUGAAUACAUAGGUUAACGAGGCGAACCGGGGGAACUGAAACAUCUAAGUACCCCGAGGAAAAGAAAUCAACCGAGAUUCCCCCAGUAGCGGCGAGCGAACGGGGAGCAGCCCAGAGUCUGAAUCAGCUUGUGUGUUAGUGGAACGGUCUGGAAAGUCCGACGGUACAGGGUGAUAGUCCCGUACACCAAAAUGCACAGGUUGUGAACUCGAAGAGUAGGGCGGGACACGUGGUAUCCUGUCUGAAUAUGGGGGGACCAUCCUCCAAGGCUAAAUACUCCUGACUGACCGAUAGUGAACCAGUACCGUGAGGGAAAGGCGAAAAGAACCCCGGCGAGGGGAGUGAAAAAGAACCUGAAACCGUGUACGUACAAGCAGUGGGAGCACCUUCGGGUGUGACUGCGUACCUUUUGUAUAAUGGGUCAGCGACUUAUAUUCUGUAGCAAGGUUAACCGUAUAGGGGAGCCGCAGGGAAACCGAGUCUUAACUGGGCGUUAAGUUGCAGGGUAUAGACCCGAAACCCGGUGAUCUAGCCAUGGGCAGGUUGAAGGUUGGGUAACACUAACUGGAGGACCGAACCGACUAAUGUUGAAAAAUUAGCGGAUGACUUGUGGCUGGGGGUGAAAGGCCAAUCAAACCGGGAGAUAGCUGGUUCUCCCCGAAAGCUAUUUAGGUAGCGCCUCGUGAAUUCAUCUUCGGGGGUAGAGCACUGUUUCGGCUAGGGGGUCAUCCCGACUUACCAACCCGAUGCAAACUACGAAUACCGAAGAAUGUUAUCACGGGAGACACACGGCGGGUGCUAACGUCCGUCGUGAAGAGGGAAACAACCCAGACCGCCAGCUAAGGUCCCAAAGUCAUGGUUAAGUGGGAAACGAUGUGGGAAGGCACAGACAGCCAGGAUGUUGGCUUAGAAGCAGCCAUCAUUUAAAGAAAGCGUAAUAGCUCACUGGUCGAGUCGGCCUGCGCGGAAGAUGUAACGGGGCUAAACCAUGCACCGAAGCUGCGGCAGCGACACUAUGUGUUGUUGGGUAGGGGAGCGUUCUGUAAGCCUGCGAAGGUGACCUGUGAGGGUUGCUGGAGGUAUCAGAAGUGCGAAUGCUGACAUAAGUAACGAUAAAGCGGGUGAAAAGCCCGCUCGCCGGAAGACCAAGGGUUCCUGUCCAACGUUAAUCGGGGCAGGGUGAGUCGACCCCUAAGGCGAGGCCGAAAGGCGUAGUCGAUGGGAAACAGGUUAAUAUUCCUGUACUUGGUGUUACUGCGAAGGGGGGACGGAGAAGGCUAUGUUAGCCGGGCGACGGUUGUCCCGGUUUAAGCAUGUAGGCUGGUUAUCCAGGCAAAUCCGGAUAAUCAAGGCUGAGGUGUGAUGACGAGGCACUACGGUGCUGAAGUAACAAAUGCCCUGCUUCCAGGAAAAGCCUCUAAGCAUCAGGUAACAUCAAAUCGUACCCCAAACCGACACAGGUGGUCAGGUAGAGAAUACCAAGGCGCUUGAGAGAACUCGGGUGAAGGAACUAGGCAAAAUGGUGCCGUAACUUCGGGAGAAGGCACGCUGGUGUGUAGGUGAAGCCCCUGCGGGUGGAGCUGAGACCAGUCGAAGAUACCAGCUGGCUGCAACUGUUUAUUAAAAACACAGCACUGUGCAAACACGAAAGUGGACGUAUACGGUGUGACGCCUGCCCGGUGCCGGAAGGUUAAUUGAUGGGGUUAUCCGUAAGGAGAAGCUCUUGAUCGAAGCCCCGGUAAACGGCGGCCGUAACUAUAACGGUCCUAAGGUAGCGAAAUUCCUUGUCGGGUAAGUUCCGACCUGCACGAAUGGCGUAAUGAUGGCCAGGCUGUCUCCACCCGAGACUCAGUGAAAUUGAACUCGCUGUGAAGAUGCAGUGUACCCGCGGCAAGACGGAAAGACCCCGUGAACCUUUACUAUAGCUUGACACUGAACAUUGAGCCUUGAUGUGUAGGAUAGGUGGGAGGCUUUGAAGCGUGGACGCCAGUCUGCGUGGAGCCAACCUUGAAAUACCACCCUUUAAUGUUUGAUGUUCUAACGUUGGCCCCUUACCGGGGUUGCGGACAGUGUCUGGUGGGUAGUUUGACUGGGGCGGUCUCCUCCCAAAGCGUAACGGAGGAGCACGAAGGUUAGCUAAUCCUGGUCGGACAUCAGGAGGUUAGUGCAAUGGCAUAAGCUAGCUUGACUGCGAGCGUGACGGCGCGAGCAGGUGCGAAAGCAGGUCAUAGUGAUCCGGUGGUUCUGAAUGGAAGGGCCAUCGCUCAACGGAUAAAAGGUACUCCGGGGAUAACAGGCUGAUACCGCCCAAGAGUUCAUAUCGACGGCGGUGUUUGGCACCUCGAUGUCGGCUCAUCACAUCCUGGGGCUGAAGUAGGUCCCAAGGGUAUGGCUGUUCGCCAUUUAAAGUGGUACGCGAGCUGGGUUUAGAACGUCGUGAGACAGUUCGGUCCCUAUCUGCCGUGGGCGCUGGAGAAUUGAGGGGGGCUGCUCCUAGUACGAGAGGACCGGAGUGGACGCAUCACUGGUGUUCGGGUUGUCAUGCCAAUGGCACUGCCCGGUAGCUAAAUGCGGAAGAGAUAAGUGCUGAAAGCAUCUAAGCACGAAACUUGCCCCGAGAUGAGUUCUCCCUGAGACUUUAAGUCUCCUGAAGGAACGUUGAAGACGACGACGUUGAUAGGCCGGGUGUGUAAGCGCAGCGAUGCGUUGAGCUAACCGGUACUAAUGAACCGUGAGGCUUAACCUU
rnacentral:rRNA from 1 species